CCUCUUUUCCCUCUCUUUCCUCUUCCUCCCUUUUCUUCCCUUUUUCUCCUUCUUUCCCGCCAGCGUCUUGUGAAAGCCCCCGGCUCAACCGGGGAACAGCGGGGCGAACUUCGGGUCUUGAGGCAGGUAGGGGCGGAUGGAACUGUCGGUGGAGCGUUGGAAUGCGUAGAUAUCGACAGGAACGCCGAUGGCGAAGGCAGUCCGCUGGGCCUGUCCUGACGCUCAGGCACGAAAGCGUGGGGAGCAAACAG
rnacentral:rRNA from 1 species